rnacentral:lncRNA from 1 species
GGGCUGGGAAAUCAAUUUAGUGUGUAUUUAACCAACCAUUUACAAAAGAGAAACACUGGAAUGGAAUAGAAUGGGUUUGGGCUGAAAUGGGAUGGAAUGGAAUUGCAGAGAAUGAAAUUGAAAAGACCAGAAUGCAUUUAAUAGAGAUUAACCCUGUUUCAUGUAACUUUAUUUUUUUAUUUAUUUAUUUAUUUAUUUUUUUCCCACUGUACAGCAAGGGGGUCAGGUCAUCCUUAGAUGUAUACAUUGCAGUUACAGUUUUUUCCCCCAUCAUGUAACUUUAAUUUCAGUUCUGUUAGGGUGUACAUAAGUUUUGUUCUGGGUCACAGCUUAAAAGUUAUGCCUUGCUGAGGGUCACAAUAAAAAUGUUUUAAAUUCUCAGAGAAAGAGCAUUAAUGUGCAGCAAGGGAAUAUAACAAAUAUUUUAUAAUAACUGUAUAUGGAGUAUAACCUAUAAAAAUAUUGAGUCACUAUGUUUUGCACCUGAAACAAUAUAAUAUUGUAAGUCAACUAUACCUCAAUUAAAAAAAAAAAAACUGAUUGAAUUCUCUCUCAUAUGGAGGUUCCCAGGCUAGGGGUCGAUUCGGAAUUGUAGCUGCUAGCCUACACCACGGCCACAGCAACAUUAGAUCCAAGCCAUGUCUAUGACCUACACCACGGGUCAUGGCAAUGCCAGAUCCUUAACCCACUGAGCAAGGCCAGGGAUUGAACCUGCAUCUUCAUGGAUGCUAGUCAGAUGCAUUUCCACUGAGCCACCAUGGGAACUCCCAUUCAAGUUUCUUGAGAGUGUUUCCAUGUUCUGCAUGUCGAAUGUGACUGUGCAGGUAUUUGGGAUCGUAGUGGGGAACAGCCCCCCCAGCAGAGUCUAUUCAUUCACUAUGUAGUUUACUUCAUUCUCUAGUUUUUACCCCAUAUGUCCGCUCUGUUUUCUUCUGUCUCUGUGUUCUAUAUGGAUUAUCUCCAUCGAAGAACCUCCAAGAAUCUUCGAGAUGAUUCAGCACCUGCCCUUACCCAGCAUUUCCUAACUGAUGUUGUAAAAGGCUGGUACCAGAGACUGGCUGUGAGUGAGUCUUUCUCCUCCCCAUCCAAAGUCCACCGCCCUCUGACAUCGCCAAACCUACUGUGGUCUCUGAUGCUGUUUUUGUUGCUCUAGAGAUGCCUGAGUUUUUGCACAAGCCAAGGUCAAGUAGCCCUGCAUGUCUAAAAGGGUAGAUGUUAACUCUUAAAAGCCAGAAAUUUGGGCACAAAUUUUAGAGCAGUUUUCAAGCACGGGUUAAAAAUAUAUUGGAAGCUGAACAUGUCUGGGGUGAGAAGUUGGGGAAGAUUCAUGUGGCAAAGAGGAGAGUUGCAUCAGGACUGCGUGGUGUUUCACACUUGUAAAGUUUUCUCCCUCUGCCUUUCCUGGAGACCUGAUUGUAGCAGCAGUGAAGGCAGAAUGAAGAGGUGGUAGCAGAGAGAGGCAGAGCACUUGGUGUAAGGAAGGCCUAUUUUUAGGUAUAAAACCUUGUCUUUCCAAUAAUAGAUUGAGGAAGCUCUGGCUUGGCAAUAUGUCUCAGCGUUUCUGUUGACACUUUGGAAUAUGGCUGUCAUGAAGUGAGUGUAAAGUUAGGACCUGCUUUGGAGUUCCCGUCAUGGCUCAGUGGUUAAGGAACCCAAAUAGGAUCCAUGAGGAUGUGGGUUCAAUCCCUGGCCUCACUCAGUGGAUUAAGGAUCUAAUGUUGCGGUGAGCUGUGGUAUAGUUUGCAGACGAGGCUCGGAUCUGGCGUUGCUGUGGCUGUGGCAUUCUCUGGCAGCUCCAGCUCCGAUUUGACCCCUAGCCUGGGAAGCUCCAUAUGCUGCAGGUACAACCCCCAAAAGACAAAAGACAAAAAAAAAAAAAAGUUAGGACCUGCCUCAAGUCAUAAGGAAGCAAGCCUGGAGUUAUUCGACUUGUAUGCAUGGUAGUCCAUUCUGUUCUGGGUACCACAUUUUGUAAUACAUGCUGUAAACCUUAGGCAUUGAAAAACUUUCAUCAAAAUGAAAUGAAUUACACUUCCACCAGCAAUAUAUGCAUUCCUGUUUGCCAAGACUCUCACCCAGUUCUUGCUGUGAUCUGAUUUUAAUUUCUGCUACUCCAAUGGGUAUAAAAAUGACAUCUUGUGGUUGUUACUGUUUGAAGUAAAAGCAUAUUUGAAAC